GAUGAACGCUAGCGGCAGGCUUAACACAUGCAAGUCGAGGGGCAGCAUAAAUAGUAGCAAUACUAUUGGUGGCGACCGGCGGACGGGUGCGUAACGCGUAUACAACCUUCCCUAAACAGGGGGAUAAUCUGGAGAAAUUCGGUCUAAUACCCCAUAACAUCAGAGCAGGCAUCUGUUUUGGUUAAAAUUUCCGGAGGUUUAGGAUGGGUAUGCGUAGCAUUAGCUAGUUGGUGAGGUAACGGCUCACCAAGGCGACGAUGCUUAGGGGGACUGAGAGGUUAACCCCCCACACUGGUACUGGGAAACGGACCAGACUCCUACGGGAGGCGGCGGUGAGGAAUAUUGGUCAAUGGGCGGAAGCCUGAACCAGCCAUGCCGCGUGCAGGAUGACGGCUCUAUGAGUUGUAAACUGCUUUUGUACGAGGGUAAAGUGGGCUACGUGUAGCCUUUUGAAAGUAUCGUACGAAUAAGGAUCGGCUAACUCCGUGCCAGCCGCCGCCGUAA
rnacentral:rRNA from 1 species